GAGCAGGCUUAGAGCAUGACUUGUAUGUGUGUCAAAUCUGUCACCUAUUUGCAAACAUUAAAUGUCCUGUUUUUGAUGAUUUUACACCUGUCUAGUAUUGAUUUUUCAAAUAUUAAUAUGUUUGUUUUUGUGACUGCACUGGGUUUUGUUUUACAUGAUGUUAUCAUAUUGAUUUGAUUUUAAUUGAACCACCUAUUUGGAUUUAUUUUGAUGACAGACCUCCAGAGAGGGGGGGGGUCUUCCUCACUGGGCAGACCAGACACAAAUUCCUUUUAAGACUGUCAAACACUGAGAGACAAUCACGUUCCACAAGUGUACUCUGGAAAGAAAAUGUUUUCCGAGACGUUUCUGUGUGGAUUUUACGCAGUGAUGAAAAUGGCAAACAGAUGAUUCAUCAAAACGGACAUUCCUGAUUCCUUCUAAGAAUUCACAAAAUGAAUAAAUAACAGGGCACUACCCUAAAAAAAGGGCCUAAUCAAGUCUGAUAAUUGCGGUGGCCCUAAAGUGCAAAACACAACGAGAUUAACUUCUUACGGAAAGGGUAGGGCCUUAUAGCAGAUAGCCGAGGACGGACCCUUCUGAUUGGACUGACGGACUGUCUGUCUUUUAACCCUCUUAAUCCGAAGCCUUUUGCCGGCGACGGAAAGUGACAGCAAUUUGAAUCCUCCAUAACUAUUUGCACAAUCAAAUUCUGAAAGCUGAGAAAAAACGCUUUUAUAGAUAUUCUGUCAAUCAAUAAAUCAGUGGUGGGAGAGCCUGUGAUGAGGGAUGGAAGUGAGCGCAGCAAGAGAACCGCAGCAGAAAGUCACGGAGAGAUGGCGCCGUCUUAAAAGUGACCGGCGUCCGAUUCCUUGGCGUGAGGAAUUGGAUGUGUGGCGGGAGUGCGUGACUGUCUCACUCAAUGCGUGACACUUGAGAGCCCUGUAUCAUUUCCUGUUUAAAAACAGACAGUCCAUCUGUCCAAUCAGAAGGGUCCGUCCUCUGCUAUAAGGCCCUACCCUUUCCGUAAGGAUUUAAUUUCUUUGUGCUUUCCCAUUUGCGUUGUGCCUUCCUAUUUGUCGUGUUUUGUACUUCAGGGCCACCGUACAUAAUUCAUGUUCGCUCAUAAAGAGGACGGAAUUGAUGGUUUAAGUUUAACAUUGGAUUACACUUUCAGCCACCAUCACAGCACAUACGCACAAAAUAAAGACAUGCAGGAAACCUCUCCUGUGCAGAGUUUAUGAACUUCCAACAAUGCUAAUCAGAUCAAUACUAUUUCAAAUCAACAAACUAUUAUACAAUUUCCUUAUACCUAAACAACAAAUAAAAACAUUCAUUUAUUCAUGCAUGUGAAGGGAGAGGACUGUGUGUGUGGUGAACGUAUCGGCUUUACUCAAACCAAACCAGAUCUUAGCUGCCACAAUGAGACAACUAGCAUCACACAGUAACUUGGAAACUAAAGAUCAGCCGCUCUGGAUAGAUACAAGUUUCAAAUACUGGUCUUGUUUGUGGGGAUCAAUUUUGUAAACCAACAGAAUAUAACAACAGCAAAUACUGUGGUUAUUACUCAAGGGCAUUAACACAUGCACAGAAUCACAUACACAGACGAUGUAGCAAAGCUUGGCAGUUCAUAACUAUGCAAUCAAUAACGCAAAAAACAACGACACAUGGUAAUCUAACUUCUGCCCAGACAGAGCCUUACUAAAGCAAGCCCUCUCUAUUCUGGAGAGAGACGUUAACCGGCUCUUUAAAAGACAAAACGCCCGUAAGGCAGCCAGUCCAGACUGUCUCUACCCGCACCCUGAAGAAUUGUGCUCACCAGCCGUCUCCGGUGUUCACUGGCAUCUUCAACACCUCCUUGGGGACAUGCCACGUACCAGCCUGCUUCAAGGCCUCCACCAUCAUCCCUGUCCGCAAGAAGCCCAGGAUCACAGGACUCAAUGACUACAGGCCCGUGACCUCUGUAGUCAUGAAGUCUUUUGAACGGCUUGUCAUGUCCCACCUGAAGACCCUCACGGACCCCUUCCUGGACCCCCUGCAGUUCGGCUAUAGAACCAACAGGUCUGUAUAUGAUGCUGUCAACAUGGCCCUCCACUACAUCCUCCAGCAUCUGGACUUCCCAGGAACCUACGCCAGGAUCCUGUUUGUGGACUUCAGCUCUGCCUUCAACACCAUCAUCCCGUCUCUGCUGCAGGACAAACUCUCCCAGCUGCACGUGCCCGACUCCACCUGCAAGUGGAUCAGACUUCCUGUCUGAUAGGAAGCAGCAUGUGAAGCUGGGGAAACAUGUCUCAGCCUCCCGGACCAUCAGCACCGGUUCCCCCCAAGGCUGUGUUCUUUCCCCUCCGCUCUUCUCCCUGUACACCAACAGCUGCACUUCCUGUCACCAGUCUCCUGAAGUUUGCGGAUGACCCCACCCUCAAUGGACUGAUUCUACAGGUGGGAGUCUGACCAUCUGGUGUCGUGGUGCAGCCAGAACAUCCUGGAGCUCAACGCUCUAAAGACAGUGGAGAUGGUUGUGGAUUUCAGGAAGAACUGAGUCCCACCUUCCCCCAUCACCCUGUGUGACUCCCCCAUCACUAUUGUGGAUUCCUUCCGUUUCCUGUGCUCCAUCAUCACCCAGGACCUCAAAUAAAUGGUAAAUGGACUGUACUUGUGUAGCGCUUUUCUAGUCUUCCGACCACUCAAAGCACUUUAACACUACAUGACAUGACCUCAUUCACCCAUUCAUACACUGAUGACAGGAGAACUAUAGACAGUGACACCUGACCAUCAGUAACUAACAUUCACACAAUGUAGUCGCAGCUACAGGAGCAAUGUUGGGUUAAGUGUCUUGCCCAAGGACACAUCGACAUGCGGGUUAGCAGAGCCUGGGAUCAAAUGGGAGCUGAAGAUCAGCUCCAUCACCAAAAAGGUUCAGCAGAGGUUCCUUCCUGAGGCAGCUGAAGAAAGUCAACCUGUCAGCACUUCUACACAGCCAUCAUGGAGUCCAACCUCUGUUCCUCCAUCACCGUCUGGUACGCUGCAGCCACAGCCAAGGACAAGGGCAGGCUGCAGCGUGUCUGUUGCAAUCUGCCGUCCCUCCAGGACUUGUUCGCUUCUAGGACCCUGAAGCGUCCUAAAAAAAAGCCAACCCCUCUCAAACGGUUUGUGCCCCAUCCAUCUUGCAGGAGGCUGAGGUCCAUCAGGACUAAGACCUCCCGCCACAAAAAGUUUCUUCCCGUCGGCAGUCGGCUCACCAACAGAGCCCAGUCCCCCACUGACUGACUCCACCGGUCAUUUUCUUUCACACUGCACACGUCACUUUCUGUUCGCUGGUGCACUUUAUUUUUAAACAUUUUUAACUAACGUUUAUUCCUUUAUUUUUAAACUUACCCAUAGCCUUAUAUCACUAACCCAUAUCAUUAUAUUUUGUUUUCCUCGUACACUGCUGUCUUGUAGUCCAUUAUCGUACGGUCUGCUGUUACCCACCAACCGCAAAGUCAAAUUCCUUGUAUGUGUCAUUAUGGCAAUAAAUGUUCCCCGAUUCCUGAUUUGUGGGAUUUCCGGUCUGGUUUUCUUCAUACCUCUUAGCCACUUGUAUGUCUGGAUCACUGGCUUGUGCAUCUUCCCAUUCGUUGCUAUCCCACUCACUGUCCUCACUUCUUGGGUUUAGCUCAAUGGCUGCCUUGGUCACACCUGUUCCUGUCUCACACUCCUGGUCUGCAACCCUGGCAGGGAUGGGGUCAACUGGAAACCUGGACAGAGCAUCUGCGUUAGCAUUGCUUUUACCUGGGCGGUACUUGACGCCGUAGUUGAAAGAAGCCAGCUGAGCGACCCAGCAUUGUUCCACAGCACCCAGGCGAGCCGUCUGCAGGUGAGCAACAGGGUUAUUGUCGGUGUAUACUGUGAACUGUGUUCCAGUCAGGUAGUCUCUG
ensembl:lncRNA